UUUUGUGUGUCCGUUACUAUGCGAAUAGGCUAGAUGGAGCGUAUGUUGUAUAUCAUGAGUUGUAGUCAACGCAUGAGACAUACGCAAGUAUGUGACAUACGUAGCGUAUGAGACAUGCGUGAGUGUGUGCUAACGCAUGAGUCAUGCGUUGUAGCUCCCAACGCAUGACUGUGUAGUAUAAAUAGGAGUGACAUGCAUUGGACACCAUAAGUUUUGGAUUUUUGGAGUUUGAACACGCUUGUUCACUCCUGGUGCUUAAACGAUGUAAACUCU
rnacentral:lncRNA from 1 species